GCUUGCACCUUUCAAGUGAGUGGCGAACGGGUGAGUAACACGUGGACAACCUGCCUCAAGGCUGGGGAUAACAUUUGGAAACAGAUGCUAAUACCGAAUAAAACUUAGUGUCGCAUGACACAAAGUUAAAAGGCGCUUCGGCGUCACCUAGAGAUGGAUCCGCGGUGCAUUAGUUAGUUGGUGGGGUAAAGGCCUACCAAGACAAUGAUGCAUAGCCGAGUUGAGAGACUGAUCGGCCACAUUGGGACUGAGACACGGCCCAAACUCCUACGGGAGGCUGCAGUAGGGAAUCUUCCACAAUGGGCGAAAGCCUGAUGGAGCAACGCCGCGUGUGUGAUGAAGGCUUUCGGGUCGUAAAGCACUGUUGUAUGGGAAGAACAGCUAGAAUAGGAAAUGAUUUUAGUUUGACGGUACCAUACCAGAAAGGGACGGCUAAAUACGUGCCAGCAGCCGCGGUAAUACGUAUGUCCCGAGCGUUAUCCGGAUUUAUUGGGCGUAAAGCGAGCGCAGACGGUUUAUUAAGUCUGAUGUGAAAGCCCGGAGCUCAACUCCGGAAUGGCAUUGGAAACUGGUUAACUUGAGUGCAGUAGAGGUAAGUGGAACUCCAUGUGUAGCGGUGGAAUGCGUAGAUAUAUGGAAGAACACCAGUGGCGAAGGCGGCUUACUGGACUGCAACUGACGUUGAGGCUCGAAAGUGUGGGUAGCAAACAGGAUUAGAUACCCUGGUAGUCCACACCGUAAACGAUGAACACUAGGUGUUAGGAGGUUUCCGCCUCUUAGUGCCGAAGCUAACGCAUUAAGUGUUCCGCCUGGGGAGUACGACCGCAAGGUUGAACUCAAAGGAAUUGACGGGGGACCCGCACAAGCGGUGGAGCAUGUGGUUUAAUUCGAAGCAACGC
rnacentral:rRNA from 1 species